rnacentral:tRNA from 1 species
GCCGGGGUGGCGAAAACGGCGAGACGCGGCUGACUUAAAAUCAGCUGUCCCCGAAAGGGGGCGUGAGGGUUCGACUCCCUCCCCCGGCA